CCCAGUCUCUAAAUCACCAUCUCAGGCUACAACAGUAUCAACAGCUGGAUCUGAUAACACCAUUCCCCUACAUGCAUUUAACAUUGGAGCUGAGCCCAAGGUAGAAGAGCCUGUCAGGGUAAAUCUAUCCCGUAGUGCUGUGUCCGUUAAAAAUGUCAUUAACGAUGACAGCCCAACACCCAGUGCUGAGCAGCCAAUCAGCAGCCGGCCUCGUAAUGUAAACACAGAGGACAAACGGGGAGACAAACAGAAAGACAAGGGGAAGAGGAAGGACGAGAGGAGACAAAAUGAAACGGAAGACGAAGACAAAAAGGGAGAUCAGAAUCUCUCUCAUAAACGACAGGAAAUGGAGGAGGAUGACAAGCAGAAAGGAAAAGGGAAUCGGACAAGUAAACAACAAGAGAGUAAUGAGACUGAUCAAACAACAGGACAGGAAAUCGGAGGGACCAGAUAUCAUUCAGAACAGAAACAGACAGAGUCACAAAUAUUGUCUGAGCUGGACCAGAGAGACGAGAACAGUGGAAGCCCAGGCUCUGGCCUCAUUUGGCCCCCCCUGGCUCCUCCGGGGCCCCCCCUGGCUCCUCCGGGACCCCCUGGCUCCUCCGGCCCCCUGGCUCCCUGGGGUCGCCCCUGGCUCCUCCGGCGUCGUCUAAGGACGUGUUAUGUUCCAGUGGAGACUGUAGCCAUUUACCCUCUCCCUCUGUGUUAGAACAAAGUCUCUACCCCAUGCUGCCUGUGCCAGCAACAGUACCAACAGAACCCUGUGCCAAGAGAGACUCCCCUGUACCUGAUUUGACUGAAAAUGCAGCUCUUAUUCAAUCAGAUUCAGCGAUUCUCCCAAAACUCUUUGCUCAGCAACAAGAAAGAGAACAUGAAGAUCGGCAGGAGAAGCCAGGAUCCAGUCCAGGUUUAGAAACAGACAACGAACACACAGCGUUACUCCCAACUUCACCACUGUUGCCGGGGGUAACGCAAGGAGCAGAGAGGACCCCGGGAGGUUUGCGUCAGGGAGAGAACAGGAAGUCAGGUGAUGGCAACUAUGUUACCAAUAAAGGGAAAGGUGGAGAAAUAGGCGGAGAGAAAAGACCAGACACAGAGGAGGGAGAAGGGAAGAGGACUGUAGAGGACUAUAGUUUCAACCGUGGUCAUGAAGAAGUCAAUAUGCCAUCUCGUAGUCACCAUGGUUUCAUUUUAGACUGGGAUAGUGGGGAUGUUGAGAGAGACAACACCACGAGGCCUGUCGUUAAAGUCCCUGUUGGUGGGGGAAAAAGACAGGACACAGAUACAAACCAAAACACCAGACCAGGAGAAGUCAACUUCCUGUCUGAUUCAGACAAGGAGGCCAAACCUAACCCAGUCUCAGACCACCAGACCAAAGGUACUGUCCCUGUCAAACUGAUCCCAGACCAGUUCACAGACACUCCUGUCAUAGUGGCUGACACUCACCCUGUUCAGGUCCAUAUUGAAGCGUCUGUACAGGAUUCAGAAUACAAGGCAGUUGAGCCGUCCUCGAAGUAUGACUUGGUCAAAGCCAGCAACAUUACUGGUACUCAGGAGAGUCCUGGUCCCAACGACGACACUGAUCCUGAGCCUCUUGUGGUCCAGAAGGCCUUCAGUACAACAACCACCACAGAAAGCCCCACAGCAGCACAACUAGCUGUCCCAGAGAGAGAGGUCACAGAAAGCCCCACAGCAGCACAACUAGCUGACCCAGAGAGAGAGGUCAUAGAAAGCCCCACAGCAGCACAACUAGCUGACCCAGAGAGAGAGGUCAUAGAAAGCCCCACAGCAGCACAACUAGCUGACCCAGAGAGAGAGGUCAUAGAAAGCCCCACAGCAGCACAACUAGCUGACCCAGAGAGAGAGGUCACAGAAAGCCCCACAGCAGCACAACUAGCUGACCCAGAGAGAGAGGUCACAGAAAGCCCCACAGCAGUACAACUAGCUGACCCAGAGAAAGAGGUCAUAGAAAGCCCCACAGCAGCACAACUAGCUGACCCAGAGAGAGAGGUCAUAGAAAGCCCCACAGCAGCACAACUAGCUGACCCAGAAGAGAGAGAGGAGGAUAUUGAGGCCUUGAACAAGAAGAAAGAGAAGAGGAUAAAAUACAGGAAACACAAGCAGAAGAAAAAGAGGGAAAAACAGACUGGUCCAGAACAGACUGGUCCAGAACAGACUGGUCCAGAACAGACUGGUCCAGAACAGACUGGUCCAGAACAGACUGGUCCAGAACAGA
ensembl:lncRNA